rnacentral:rRNA from 1 species
AGCGAACGCUGGCGGCAGGCCUAACACAUGCAAGUCGAACGAACCUUUCGGGGUUAGUGGCGGACGGGUGAGUAACACGUGGGAACGUGCCUUUAGGUUCGGAAUAACUCAGGGAAACUUGUGCUAAUACCGAAUGUGCCCUUCGGGGGAAAGAUCUAUCGCCUUUAGAGCGGCCCGCGUCUGAUUAGCUAGUUGGUUGAGGUAAUGGCUCACCAAGGCGACGAUCAGUAGCUGGUCUGAGAGGAUGAUCAGCCACAUUGGGACUGAGACACGGCCCAAACUCCUACGGGAGGCAGCAGUGGGGGAUCUUGCGCAAUGGGCGAAAGCCUGACGCAGCCAUGCCGCGUGAAUGAUGAAGGUCUUAGGAUUGUAAAAUUCUUUCACCGGGGACGAUAAUGACGGUACCCGGAGAAGAAGCCCCGGCUAACUUCGUG